UUCGUAUUUCUAAUAAUUAAAACACAGGAAUGACAUAAAGCUAUAACGUUACUUACCAAGAUUUUGACGAACAAACUGACAGAAAAACUCUUAAAUCUUAGAGCGGACUAUUAACCAAAAUCAUACUAUUACAAAAUGAAGAGGAACGUAAUGUGUACAAAUUGUAUUAUUUACAGGUUAUUAAUGAUGAUAUUUGCGAAGAAAAAAGUUUUUACUCGAGCAAAAAGCGGUCUUCUGGUAAAUAUUGUGGUCACGUGACUUAUGGCCUCGCGACGACGUAUGCUCGCUCUCGCUCUGGUGUUUCUCAAACGGAAAGCUGCGUCCUUUAAAAAAUAUUCUUAAUUAUUUUUUUUAAAUAAUAAGACAUACAAGUACAGUCAGUGGGUAUAUAUUAUUUAAAUACACAAUAAAAAAUAAAUAAGGCUGCGUCCUAUAGGAAGGCUGCUACGUCAUCAAGCAUUGUCGAAGGACAUCUCAAUCUGCUGGUUUUCUUUUUUGUUGUUGUAAUUUAAUCACAUAAGGUUAAAUUGCUUAUGUUAUAAAGACAGUUGAUACAUGACUUUUAUUCACUGUUCUGCAGUAUUGGCAUUUUGUAAUACCUUUUUUGUGGCGGUGCAUGCUUAUUUUCAACUUCUCUCUAUAAAGUGUUCAUGCCAUGACCACUGGGACGGAAUUAUUAUAAUGUUGCCAUGGACACCAAACACUUUUAAGGAAGACUCUGGCUGUUUCUCAAUGUCAAGGAAGGAUCCUCGGAAGCCAGAAUUUCGAGGAUGCUACGUCAUUGACAUCCGUUGACGGACUGUUUCAAUGUCAAGGGUCUUCAACCAAGGACUGAGUAGCCUACGGUGUUGAGGCAUUGUGAUAGAACUGAACUGGAGUCUGUGAACUAAUGCUGUGUUCGAGACAACUUAGAUGUUGGAUUUUAUCAACCUCAAACCCGUAAGAAGUCUGGCACAGCAAACAAAGUUGGGUAUCCGACCUCUCAUCUUGGGACAGAUUGAUCAACACCGAUCAUUUGACAUUGCAGACAAGCAUUUAGGAUGAACGACCCGGAUCUGCUAAGAUGCACAGAUUCAACUCUGACCCAGCAUCAUCCCCACAUCUCAUCUGUCAUCGGUUUCGUUUAAUGUCUGUCAAUUGCAAAUGCUAUUUUAUUCAGUUCUAUAACAACUUAAUAUAAACUUUAAUUGAGACUUUUAUUGUGUAAAACAGGGCUUUUCAUUUCACAACAUAUUAGACAGCUCUGUUGGUAAAUUAAAGUCGCAUUUAAGUCUUGUGUUACAGUCUCCCUUAUUUGUGACUAUAUUCAUGAUGUUACAUGAUACUUUCAGCACCUACUACAUAAAAGUGUUUUAAUGCUUUUUAUUUUUAGGUUUAUUAUAAAUUCGUUCGUUUUUAAUGAAUUCCCUCUUUAUCUAGAACAUGCAGAGUCUAAAAUGUAAAGUGUCAUGAUCAGCUCUGGGUCUUGUGCAGUGAUAUAAUGAACAGAUGGUAAAUGUCAUAGCUUUGCAGUAUAUUGGGCUCUGGAUGUAAUGAACAGUCAGCACAUGGGUUUCAUACAUUUAAUUUGGUAAACAAACUUGUCAGAACAAUUCAUGCUGUGAUGCUGGAUAAUACCUGGUCAAAUAAAUACAUGUAUAAUGUGUUUCCACGUUUAUAUAAGGUUUCUUCAUCUAUAUAGACAUUUAUUAGAGAACAGUGCAGAGACUGCUGUGCAUUAUUGGU